rnacentral:rRNA from 1 species
UACGUAGGUGGCAAGCGUUAUCCGGAUUUAUUGGGCGUAAAGCGAGCGCAGGCGGUCGCUUAGGUCUGAUGUGAAAGCCUUCGGCUUAACCGAAGAAGUGCAUCGGAAACCGGGCGACUUGAGUGCAGAAGAGGACAGUGGAACUCCAUGUGUAGCGGUGGAAUGCGUAGAUAUAUGGAAGAACACCAGUGGCGAAGGCGGCUGUCUGGUCUGCAACUGACGCUGAAGCUCGAAAGCAUGGGUAGCGAACAGG